CCUCCCCCCCAUUCUUUCCCCAAAACGAGCCGCCACUAGGUCUCCAUCCCUUCUCCCCAGAUCCACUUCUCUCCGAAAGCCGCCAGCCCGAUUUGAUGCCGAUCUGCAGCAAGUAGAUGGCGCGGAGCUGGUGCAGACUGUGUCUAUGCUUUCAGCGCCCCUCAUCAGCAGCCGCUUUCCCUCGUCUUCCACGUCAUGUACCUCCGCCGCAAGCGUGCCGCCACCCCUCCCCGCCGUGAGUUAGUGACAAGAGAGAAAGACCCAAAUCGCGACGACAAGCACUUGGUGAGGUCCGCGUGCACCGGAUCCGUCAUCCCCCACCGCGGGAUGAGCCAGGGAAUCCCGACCGCCGUUUCUUCCCCCCUUCGCCAACCGAGGAUCUGCAUCCAUGACUCCUUACAUGCCCGGUUCCACCACCAUGCCUCUACCAUUGACAAGAAGAAAACAUGGAUUGCCAUCCGAAGUCCCAGCUGCAAUCGAGCCAAGCGCGCAACAACCUGUUGAAGAGAAGAAGGUCUUGAAGGGGUGUUUGGGGCCUUUUUCAAUCGGACUGGAACUUGUGCACUAAGCAGUAUGGUUAACAUGAUGCUGAUGUUCAGUGAUGUUGCAAACUCCAACUAAUACUUGGCUUGGCCUAUAACAAUUAUGUACUGUACAUGCUAGUUGAGAUGUUCAAUUGGUUAGCUGUAGCAAACUCUAGCUAGCUACACUAUUUUUUUGACAAAGAUGAUAUGGUUGGUGAUGUUUUGCAUUUGAUGUAUGCAUGUGACGGUUGAUAUCCGGAGAUAUCUAUAUUGAUUAUGUGGUGUUUC